rnacentral:rRNA from 1 species
CUCGUAGUUGAAUUUCAAAGAACCAAUAUUUUAAUAACGCCGUUAGCUAGAUCCACAAGGGGUUGAGCCAAUCACGGUUUCGGCUUCUGUGCGCAUCCUACCUAUCAAGUGUUUUUUUAAUUAAAGUGUUUCUUUUUAAAAUCUUCUUUACCUUAACCAUACGGAAGAUUUUGUUACUUUGAGU